UACGGGGGGGCAAGCGUUGUUCGGAAUUACUGGGCGUAAAGGGCUCGUAGGUGGCCAACUAAGUCAGACGUGAAAUCCCUCGGCUCAACCGGGGAACUGCGUCUGAUACUGGAUGGCUUGAAUUCGGAGAGGAUGCGGAAUUCCAGGUGUAGCGGUGAAAUGCGUAGAUAUCUGGAGGAACACCGGUGGCGAAGGCGGCAUCCUGGACCGAGAUUGACGCUGAUGCGCGAAAGCCAGGGGAGCAAACGGG
rnacentral:rRNA from 1 species